UACGUAGGGUGCGAGCGUUGUCCGGAAUUAUUGGGCGUAAAGGAGCUACGUAGGCGGUCUGUCGCGUCGGUUGUGAAAACUCGGGGGCUCAACCCCGAGCCUGCAAUCGAUACGGGCAGACUAGAGUGCUGUAGGGGAGACUGGAAUUCCUGGUGUAGCGGUGAAAUGCGCAGAUAUCAGGAGGAACACCGGUGGCGAAGGUGGGUCUCUGGGCAGUAACUGACGCUGAGGAGCGAAAGCGUGGGGGAGCAAACAGG
rnacentral:rRNA from 1 species